CGCGUGGGAACAUACCCUUCACUACGGAAUAGCCACUGGAAACGGUGAGUAAUACCGUAUACGCCCUUCGGGGGAAAAGAUUUAUCGGUGAUGGAUUGGCCCGCGUUAGAUUAGUUAGUUGGUGGGGUAACGGCCUACCAAGACGACGAUCUAUAGCUGGUUUGAGAGGAUGAUCAGCAACACUGGGACUGAGACACGGCCCAGACUCCUACGGGAGGCAGCAGUGGGGAAUCUUAGACAAUGGGCGCAAGCCUGAUCUAGCCAUGCCGCGUGAGUGAUGAAGGCCUUAGGGUCGUAAAG
rnacentral:rRNA from 1 species